rnacentral:rRNA from 1 species
AUAAGGUUAAGUUAAUAAGGGCGCACGGUGGAUGCCUUGGCACUAGAAGCCGAAGAAGGACGUGACAAACGACGAAAUGCUUUGGGGAGCUGUAAGUAAGCGCUGAUCCAGAGAUGUCCGAAUGGGGGAACCCACUAACUAAUGGUUAGUAUCCAUAACUGUUAAGGUUAUGAGAAGGAAGACGCAGUGAACUGAAACAUCUAAGUAGCUGCAGGAAGAGAAAGCAAACGCGAUUGCCUUAGUAGCGGCGAGCGAAACGGCAGGAGGGCAAACCGAAGUGUUUACACUUCGGGGUUGUAGGACUGCGACGUGGGACUUUAAAAGGAUAGAAGAAUUACCUGGGAAGGUAAGCCAAAGAGAGUAAAAGCCUCGUAUUUAAAAUUCUUUUGAGCCCUAGCAGUAUCCUGAGUACGGCGAGACACGUGAAAUCUCGUUGGAAUCUGGGAGGAC